rnacentral:pre_miRNA from 1 species
GCCUGGCCUCUGCUGGUGACAGGACAUUAUUACUUUUGGUACGCGCUGUGACACUUCAAACUCGUACCGUGAGUAAUAAUGCGCUGUCCACAGCACCACAUCCAAGC